rnacentral:rRNA from 1 species
AGUUUACGCUCUAUAACCCUUUGUGAACAUACCUAUAACUGUUGCUUCGGCGGGUAGGGUCUCCGCGACCCUCCCGGCCUCCCGCCUCCGGGCGGGUCGGCGCCCGCCGGAGGAUAACCAAACUCUGAUUUAACGACGUUUCUUCUGAGUGGUACAAGCAAAUAAUCAAAACUUUUAACAACGGAUCUCUUGGUUCUGGCAUCGAUGAAGAACGCAGCGAAAUGCGAUAAGUAAUGUGAAUUGCAGAAUUCAGUGAAUCAUCGAAUCUUUGAACGCACAUUGCGCCCGCCAGCAUUCUGGCGGGCAUGCCUGUUCGAGCGUCAUUUCAACCCUCAAGCUCUGCUUGGUGUUGGGGCCCUACAGCUGAUGUAGGCCCUCAAAGGUAGUGGCGGACCCUCCCGGAGCCUCCUUUGCGUAGUAACUUUACGUCUCGCACUGGGAUCCGGAGGGACUCUUGCCGGAUAAACCCCCCUUUUCCGCAGGUUGACCUCGGA